rnacentral:lncRNA from 7 species
AGAAAAAUGUCAGGUAGGUGGUUUGUGUUUGUUUGGUGACGUGUUCUAACAACACUGUGGUGCUGCACAAUGGGACAGAUACAUGGUGGUGUAUAAACAUUGUCAUCUACGUGAUGUAAAAUAACCGUUCAGCUCUGGUGAGGCAUCAGCUGAAGUAGCAGGUCUGGUUUUGUACUACGCUUGUUAGGAAAUGUAAGCGGUUCAGGAAGCAGCAAUGAGAUUGAAGUGAAAUCAAUAAAACAUCAGGACGUAAGUAUCUGAGAAUGAGAAGUGUAAGGAGAUAAGAGGUUCAGUAGGUUUCCCAACAGCGUACUUAAAGGAACUACAAGUCUUCAAAUACAAAGAGAACAAUUGAGUCCUUUCAUCUUUUCAGUGUCUUAUGUCUCCUUUCAUCUUUUCAGUGUCUUAUGUCUACGCUGGAUAGAAGAAGAAUUAAGAGACUUAUUGAUUCGAGGAAGAUUUAGACCAGUCACUGAGGAGGAACUAGCAGGAAGAGAUUUUCAAGGCAGGUCCUUGGGCUGUGUGUGGCAAUUGGGCACGUACCUGUUGGAAAUGCUUCAGGCAGAGAGCAACCUGUCUGUAGAGCCCCGGUACAGCAGGGUGCUGGCCUGAAACCAAUGUUCUGUGGGACUGGAGCCAGAAACAGGAUCAGGGUUGCAGGAAGAACCCUGAAAAGAAAGGCUCUUCUUUCAGAAAGUGGAGCUCCAUGAGCUGUCGGCAUCCCAGGGGCAGAGCAGAGGCAGAUUUUGGCUGUGAAGUUGACCCAGCCAAUGCCACGCAGGACAAGGUGGCAUUGAGAAGGUCCACAGCAGCAGCAUGUGUGCUGGAGGGGAACCACAAGCCGUGAAGGAUAGGGCAAAAGUGCCCGCUUCAUAAAUACACAUAAACAAACAAAACAGCUCACCAGCAGACAAAAUUCAGUGCUUCAGUGACCAUGGUUUCUCCUCUGCGAAGGCCCUCCUGUUGCCUUAGAAAAUUAUCAUCCCGUUUACUUAAUUAGGCUGACUCCAAGCUUUAGGCAUCGGCCUGCCAAGAUGAUGCACACAGCGUAUGACACCUGUCAGUUGACUUCAAUGACUGCUCACCACUUCUUCGUGUUCUGCACCUCCCACAAGUCAGCUCCACAGAUGUGUCAGGAACGCUUCCUGAUGACUGCAUUGUAACAAAUGUGCAGGUGAGGUCACCUCUGUAAGGCGUAAGUCUCCUGGAUUUGCAGGAAGUUGUACAGAAUGGUCCAAUAGGUCAUCUUCAUCUCUGGCUUAUGUGGUAAUAAAGGAAU